UCUUACUAUUGUCUCUUAUAAUAUUCCGCGAGGAGGCGAGCGAGGCUUGCGAUGGCGAGACCCGCGACGGCCUCCCCAUCCACCGGAACCCUUACGAUAACCCUCGAGGAGCCAUCCCCUUCCUCCACAUCGCGGCCAUCGCAGCCGUUCCCCCACCAGACCCUCGUCCUCCGCCUCAAGCGCCCCAAGAAGGUCUCCUGGAAGGAGGGCACCGUCGACAACGAGUUCCUCAACCGGAAAAGCUCCAAGAAGUGCUGCAUCUUCCACAAGCAGAAGCCAUUCGACGAGGACGACAGCGACGAGGAGGAUGGCGGCGCUGAUCCCCCGACGGAUGGCGGCGCCGGGCCCAGCCAUCGUUGCUGUUCCCAUGAUGGAGGGCACUGAUGAGGCCAAGUGAUAGGCAUGGAAAAUUUUGCAACACCAUGAGUCGUCGUAUGCAAGCUACAUUUCCUAGCUACAAGCUAUCACCAGCCAUCAUCUCUGGUUACUCUGUUGUAUUUUCAUCUUCGUUCGAGGAACAUGGAUGAGUAUUCUCUCAUCGUGGCUUUGCUGAUACUUCGAUUCCACAGAAUGGAGAACCUACCGUGUGCUGAUAUUGUAGGACCUAUUUGAAAUGAAUAAUACACUACUUUCAUGGUUUGCAUC